GACGAACGCUGGCGGCGUGCCUAAUACAUGCAAGUAGAACGCUGAAGAGAGGAGCUUGCUCUUCUUGGAUGAGUUGCGAACGGGUGAGUAACGCGUAGGUAACCUGCCUUGUAGCGGGGGAUAACUAUUGGAAACGAUAGCUAAUACCGCAUAACAAUGGAUGACACAUGUCAUUUAUUUGAAAGGGGCAAUUGUUCCACUACAAGAUGGACCUGCGUUGUAUUAGCUAGUAGGUGAGGUAAUGGCUCACCUAGGCGACGAUACAUGGCCGACCUGGGAGGGUGAGCGGCCACACUGGGACUGAGACCCGGCACAGACUCCUUCGGGAGGCAGCAGGAGGGAAACUUCGGCAAGGGGGGCAACACUGACCGAGCAACGCCGCGUGAGUGAAGAAGGUUUUCGGAUCGUAAAGCUCGGUUGUAAGUCAAGAACGGGUGUGAGAGUGGAAAGUUCACACUGUGACGGUAGCUUACCAGAAAGAGACGGCUAACUACGUG
rnacentral:rRNA from 1 species